rnacentral:rRNA from 1 species
UACGUAGGGGGCGAGCGUUGUCCGAAGUUACUGGGCGUAAAGCGUGCGCAGGCGGUUAUGUAAGACAGGUGUGAAAUCCCCGGGCUUAACCUGGGAACUGCAUUUGUGACUGCAUAGCUAGAGUACGGUAGAGGGGGAUGGAAUUCCGGGUGUAGCGGUGGAAUGCGUAGAGAUCCGGAAGAACACCGGUGGCGAAGGCGGCCUGCUGGGCAGUAGCUGACACUGAGGCGCGACAGCGUGGGGAGCAAACAGG